AUGAGGGAAAACGACGCCAAAAGCACCGCCAUCGUCCGAUCCGAAAACUCCGGAUCUAGGUUUUCACCCAGAGCAGCGCAAGCAAGUCGCCAGAAGCUGCAGAGGCGAUGUCUUCAACAAGAUAACAACGCGAAAACGCCGCCAUCGCCCGCCAUGACCCGAGUCAUAGCACGGUUUUCACCGGCAGCCUCGUCUCCCCACUCUACGCCGGGACUGGAUGCGAGAAUCCACAAUAGCCGACCACCUCCGGCGAAGAAGAUGGCCACCACCUCCACGCCCAGGGCUAGAGCCCCCGACGUCCUCGUGUCGCGUGCCUAG
rnacentral:rRNA from 1 species